rnacentral:rRNA from 1 species
UGCAGUCGAACGAGACCUUCGGGUCUAGUGGCGCACGGGUGAGUAACGCGUGGAAACCUACCAUUCUGUACGGAAUAACGAUUGGAAACGAUCGCUAAUACCGUAUACGCCCUGUGGGGGAAAGGUCCGCCGCAGAAUGAGGGGUCCGCGUCCGAUUAGCUUGUUGGUGGGGUAAAAGCCUACCAAGGCGAUGAUCGGUAGCUGGUCUGAGAGGAUGAUCAGCCACACUGGGACUGAGACACGGCCCAGACUCCUACGGGAGGCAGCAGUGGGGAAUAUUGGACAAUGGGGGCAACCCUGAUCCAGCAAUGCCCGCGUGUGUGAAGAAGGCCUUAGGGUUGUAAAGCACUUUCAAUGGUGAAGAUGAUGACGGUAGCCGUAAAAGAAGCCCCGGCCUAACUUCGUGCCAGCAGCCGCGGUAAUACGAAGGGGGCGAGCGUUGUUCGGAAUUACUGGGCGUAAAGGGCGCGCAGGCGGCCAAUCCAGUCAGGUGUGAAAGCCCCGGGCUUAACCUGGGAACUGCACUUGAUACUGAUUGGCUAGAAAACGGAAGAGGG